GGGGGAAUAAGUAGGUGCAUAAUUGUUAUAAGUGAGUAAAUAAGGGUUACACUGUAGGCUUAAAAGUGUAUCAUUGCAUAAAGUUGCACCGGAUGUUGAGGUUUAGAUGAUGUAAUGACUUGUGUGUUUUGGAAUUAUUUGCUGAUGUUGCCUCGACUGUUUUCAUCUGUGAAGCCUUAAGGCAGGCAGGGACAGUCCAGGCUGCUCAUAUACAAAGCCAGCACGUUUCACUCUGUCUGCAGCAGCCGAGCGGUGCUGAGCAACACCUCCAGCAUCACCUCCACCACCAGCACCAGCAGCAGCAGAAGCAGCACAAGCAGCGGAUCGGGGAGGGUUUUGAAGCACAGUUGGAGCACCGACGACGCAUAUCAACACUCCCAGACUCGAGACCAGUCGAUAAUGAUGCCGACUGGCGGGUUGCUGGUUGCCGGUUGCCGGUGACACGAGCGCCGACGGAGGCUGUUGAAUGAACGAGCCGCUGUCCAAGGUGCUGAAACGCUGUCGGACCGUCGUUGUCUUUUUCCAGUCGAGACGAUACGCAUGAACUGACGUGAAUGCCGAGCAGCACAACACAGCAGCACAAGAGUUCGGCGGUUAACACAGCACCCCCGGACAGAGUAAAUGGGACCGCACGUCUUCCCAGCGUUAGAAAAAUGGAGAGAAUUUUCCUGCUCGUCCUCAGCUGUCUCGGCGUCUCUCGAGUCACAGGGGAUAGCUUGUCACCUCCUGUCAAUGUGACCAUCAAAGAGGUGAAAGCAAAGUCUGCUGUGGUGACAUGGGACAUCCCGGAGGGAGACAACGUCAUCGGCUUUGCCAUCACACAGCAGAAGAAAGACGUGCACAUGCUGCGGUUCAUCCAGGAAGUCAACACCACCACACGCUCCUGUGCAUUAUGGGACUUGGACGAGGAAACGGAUUAUAUUGUGCAUGUGCAGUCCAUCAGUAUGUCGGGUACGAGCCCGCUGAGCGAACCCCUGCGCUUUCGAACACCAAAGGAGGCCGAGACUCAGGCGUCUAAGAGUAAAGACGAAGUGACCAUGGAAGAAGUGGGCCAGACCACCCAGCUGAGGGCAGGGGAGCUCAUAAUCAUUGUGGUGGUACUCAUCAUGUGGGCAGGUGUGAUCGCUCUCUUCUGUCGUCAGUAUGAUAUAAUCAAAGACAACGAGCCCAACAACAACAAGGACAAAGCCAAAAACUCCUCAGAGUGCAGCACUCCUGAACAUCCAACAGGGGGGCUGUUGCGCAGUAAGGUAUAACCCACCCCCCUCCUUUCCCCGGGUGCCUCCCCCUCCGCGGCGCCGGGCAGUUCCCCAAGAACAACAACAACAACAACAGGAUGCCAUCUGUCAACAUCAUUGAGGUGUGACUGCCAGGACGUCUUCUCUUUAUCUGCAAGACUUUGUGCUCUCACAAACAACCAGGCCCCUUUUAAGCCCAUCUGCUUGUCAGGAUGAGGCCGGGAUGCUGGGCCCCCUCGAUGGCGCCAACUCUCCUUUGGCACGGGGCCCGGUUCUGGGGCAAAGCUGCAGGGCUUCUAGGACCAGGCAUAGUGUGGCUGGUGCAGGUCUGAGAGCCCACAGCGCAGAGACAGUGGCGUGGGUUCAGUGGCUCCACGGUGUUCAGUAAUUCCGGUGCCAUGGGGCAGCAGAGAUUAGGGCCAAAUGGCUCCGACGGUGGAGAGACUGCUGAAAAACCAACCCCAGGGACCAAAGCCGAUAUACAGAGCCAGACACCUUUUCAUUCUGUUUCUCUUCCCAUGUUACUUCUUUCCUCUCACUGUCUUUCAUUAUGUUAUAAACACAAACAUGUCCAAUUAGUCCACUCUACUGCGCUCCUAUUCUUGUUUAGUCCAAAGUAAACACUGUUUCAUCAUUUAAGUGUUUUUUUACGCUAAUUUUUACAAGGUGCCACCAGAACAUUUCUGUUGUUCUGGUUUUCUCUUUUCUUCUUCUUUUUCUGUUUAGAUUCCCCCAGUGGCAGAAACUCUUUUGCCACCCUGUGGGAAACAUUUUGAUUCUGCGAGCUUGUUUCCCCCCUCAGGGAAUCCAGACUCCACCUGGCUAAUUUAGGAGCCAUUUCUUAGAUGUGCUUUGAUGACGCCAGAGCAGCUUUAGAGGGAUCACUCCACUCACCACCGGAGCUGAAUCAUCCAAUCAUGUCAGAAAAGAAGAAACUCAUUAACUCUGAGGAUGGCUGGAGAAAGUAUCUGAUCUAAACACAUAUAUACAGUGAAGUCCAUAACGUGACAGGUUUGGAAUGAGCUCUGUCACAUUUACUUUUGUGGAAAUGUCCUCUAACUUCUUUCACGCUUUUCUUACAGAUUUCUAAAAUGUUACAUUCCAUGUCCAGGAUGAGCCCUUUAGUAUUUCCUUGUGUCUUUCUCUUUGGAGGUGAUUAUUGUCAAAGUGUUGUGGGGACGAAAACGAACUGCCAUAAAGGAGUGCAUUUGUCUAAUUAAUGACUUUGUCUUCAGAAGGGGCUGGACGCAUGUCUAAGGGAUCCCUUAUAUCAGCAAUAACAGCCUUCAGUGAAGCACGGAAGCAAGAACUUGAACUUGGGAAAUUUGCGCGCACACAGUAGCCCCUUCGUACAAAAACUCGACCUCCCAGCAUGCAAAGUUCAGAUAAACAGCUGUAUGUUGUAAGAGCGCAUGCAAAAAUGAGGAAACCUACCAUGAGCCUAAUUUCCAGGUGAUCUGUGUGUGAACUUUCAGAGGAGCGUCUCUAAGCUAUAAACAUUCUGAUCGAGAGCAUGGAAAUAACUUCGUAUGGGCCCAGCCUUUGAUCCUGAGACUUCACUUAGAUGUCUUGAACAGACAUCACCAAGACAGAAGGGCUUCUAUUGAGACUUUUUCUCAAUUCAAAGUCAACAUUUGUGUUGCAGAGGCUAAAACAACUAUAAGGGAUCAACUUUUGCCAUAUGUUACUGUGCACUGUAUACUGUAUGAGAUAUGGUUCAGCCUCCAACAGACUGCGUUGGGGCGUGAGGUAAUAAGAAAAUGGUUUAUUUGAGGGCUGUUUCAAAUUCAGUAGUUACUGCCUUAAAAAUAAUAAAAUCUCAUGAUUUCUUUCGUAAGACGGUAGGCCCUGUAUGUCACAUUUGCAUCAUACUCUUAACCUUAAAAGGAAGUAAGUGAUGAAGAACAGGUAAAUCUCCUUCUGUCAGGUGGUUUGUUGAAAAGCUCUCGACAUUUCAAUUUGUAAAUACAUUUUAUAUUUCAUUCUUGUUUGUCGGUGUCAGUUUUAAGAGCCUUUGAUGAAAUAUGAUAUGACAAAUGUGGAAAAUGUAACUUUAAGAAGGUACUGGUACAAGUGAAAAGUGUAGGUGAUAUUUUUAAAAGCAACUGUAAAAGUCCAGAUAUUAAUAAGCUUUUCAUAUCCUUUCUCAACUGUUAUGUACUUCUCUUACAUUAUUUCAUUGCGCUGCUGAUGUGCACAAAGGAGAGACUCUUUUCAUUGGGGAAAAAAAAAAAAAGAAUGAAAAGUGAUGGAUGUUUCUUAUCAUUGACCACGGUGUUCUGAAAGCAUAUUAGUCAAGAGCUUUUCAGAUGUUGAAUAUCUGUAUUGACCGAAAGAACAAGUAGUCUUUUUCAGCCCAAACUGUGUCCUUCUGUGAUCCAGUGGGUAGUCAUCUGUUGUAAACACAGACACAUACUGUACAUGUGUGCACACAAACAUAACAGGUCACAAGUCCCUGUCAAUGCACAAAGUCUGAAGUGUCGGGGGGAAGAGGGAGGCAGUGAAGGCAGUUAGGGGAGAGCAAUGAAGGUUACGGUUGAGCAGAGUGGGCAGAAUGAUGACUAAUGCAAUGGCAGGCUUUUAUCACUCUGCCUCUCUCCCCUUCCACUUCUACUUUUGUUAUGAGUGGAAAAGCUCAGCUCCUCCAAUAAGCACUGAUUCGUGUCAGAGGCUCGAGUGGGUUUAAAGCAAUGGCAAAAAGUGGUGGUGGUGGUGGGGGG